UACGAAGGGGGCUAGCGUUGUUCGGAAUUACUGGGCGUAAAGCGCGCGCAGGCGGCUCUUCAAGUCAGGGGUGAAAGCCCAGAGCUCAACUCUGGAAUUGCCUUUGAGACUGUAGAGCUUGAGUACGGGAGAGGUGAGUGGAAUUCCCAGUGUAGAGGUGAAAUUCGUAGAUAUUGGGAAGAACACCGGUGGCGAAGGCGGCUCACUGGCCCGUUUCUGACGCUCAGGCGCGAAAGCGUGGGGAGCAAACAGG
rnacentral:rRNA from 1 species